rnacentral:rRNA from 1 species
ACCCGCUGAAUUUAAGCAUAUAAGUAAGUGGUGGAAAUUAAACCAAAUGGGAUAUCUUUAGUAAUUGCGAAUGAACAAGGAUAUGCUUAGCUUGACAAAUGGAGCUAUUGGCUUGAAUUGUAUUUGUGGAAUGUAUUACCAACAGAGGUGCAGGUGCCAGCCUAUUAAAUAAAGCGUCAAUGAGGGUGAGGAUCCUGUUUGUCAUGUGCAGCCCUUUGUGCACGGUGUAUAUUUGCUGAGUCACACUCCUUGGCAUUGGAAUGCAAAGUGGGUGGUAAGUUUCAUGUACAGGUAAACAUGCAAUUGAGACUGAUAGCACACAAGUACCAUGAGGGAAAUAUGAAAAGGACUUUGAAAAGAGAAUUAAAUGAGUUUGUAUUUGCUGAACACAAAGUAAACAGACUUGAUUUGCUUGGUGGGAGUGUUGCACUUGCUUGACAAGAGCUUUGGGCUGUGGGUGUAAUGAUUCUUUCUUUGCAUGCCAGUUUCUAUUUGUACAUCUGAUUACCUUUGCACAUGAAUGAUAAGUCUCCUGUGGGGGGUGGAUUGCAUGUGCAUGUAAUGAUUUGUGUUUUGAUAAAUGUAUCUGGUGUAUGUGUGUGUGUUCCUGUGCUUGGGGAUGCUUCCUUCCUUGGACUUACAAGCCCUGACACACACAUGCUGGCAAAAUGCUUCUGCUUGACCCGUCUUGAAACACGGACCAAGG